rnacentral:tRNA from 1 species
UGGCUCAAUUGGUAGAGCAUGGUGUUUGCAACACCAGGGUUGUGGGUUCAAUUCCCAC